GUCGGCGUAGCUUAGUUGGUAGAGCGGGCGUUUCAUACGCGCCAGGUCGGAGGUUCGAGUCCUCCCGUCGACA
rnacentral:tRNA from 1 species